GACGAACGCUGGCGGCGUGCUUAACACAUGCAAGUCGAACGGAAAGGCCCUUUCGGGGGUACUCGAGUGGCGAACGGGUGAGUAACACGUGGGUGAUCUGCCCUGCACUUUGGGAUAAGCCUGGGAAACUGGGUCUAAUACCGAAUACACCCUGCUGGUCGCAUGGCCUGGUAGGGGAAAGCUUUUGCGGUGUGGGAUGGGCCCGCGGCCUAUCAGCUUGUUGGUGGGGUGAUGGCCUACCAAGGCGACGACGGGUAGCCGGCCUGAGAGGGUGACCGGCCACACUGGGACUGAGAUACGGCCCAGACUCCUACGGGAGGCAGCAGUGGGGAAUAUUGCACAAUGGGCGCAAGCCUGAUGCAGCGACGCCGCGUGAGGGAUGACGGCCUUCGGGUUGUAAACCUCUUUCAGCACAGACGAAGCGCAAGUGACGGUAUGUGCAGAAGAAGGACCGGCCAACUACGUGCCAGCAGCCGCGGUAAUACGUAGGGUCCGAGCGUUGUCCGGAAUUACUGGGCGUAAAGAGCUCGUAGGUGGUUUGUCGCGUUGUUCGUGAAAACUCACAGCUUAACUGUGGGCGUGCGGGCGAUACGGGCAGACUAGAGUACUGCAGGGGAGACUGGAAUUCCUGGUGUAGCGGUGGAAUGCGCAGAUAUCAGGAGGAACACCGGUGGCGAAGGCGGGUCUCUGGGCAGUAACUGACGCUGAGGAGCGAAAGCGUGGGGAGCGAACAGGAUUAGAUACCCUGGUAGUCCACGCCGUAAACGGUGGGUACUAGGUGUGGGUUUCCUUCCUUGGGAUCCGUGCCGUAGCUAACGCAUUAAGUACCCCGCCUGGGGAGUACGGCCGCAAGGCUAAAACUCAAAGGAAUUGACGGGGGCCCGCACAAGCGGCGGAGCAUGUGGAUUAAUUCGAUGCAACGCGAAGAACCUUACCUGGGUUUGACAUGCACAGGACGCCGGCAGAGAUGUCGGUUCCCUUGUGGCCUGUGUGCAGGUGGUGCAUGGCUGUCGUCAGCUCGUGUCGUGAGAUGUUGGGUUAAGUCCCGCAACGAGCGCAACCCUUGUCUCAUGUUGCCAGCACGUUAUGGUGGGGACUCGUGAGAGACUGCCGGGGUCAACUCGGAGGAAGGUGGGGAUGACGUCAAGUCAUCAUGCCCCUUAUGUCCAGGGCUUCACACAUGCUACAAUGGCCGGUACAAAGGGCUGCGAUGCCGUGAGGUGGAGCGAAUCCUUUCAAAGCCGGUCUCAGUUCGGAUCGGGGUCUGCAACUCGACCCCGUGAAGUCGGAGUCGCUAGUAAUCGCAGAUCAGCAACGCUGCGGUGAAUACGUUCCCGGGCCUUGUACACACCGCCCGUCACGUCAUGAAAGUCGGUAACACCCGAAGCCGGUGGCCUAACCCUUGUGGAGGGAGCCGUCGAAGGUGGGAUCGGCGAUUGGGACG
rnacentral:rRNA from 4 species